CCUCUCCCAGUAUUUCUGCCACAAAUUGCUAGGAUUCUUCUGUAAUCCCAGGGAGGAGUUUAAAGGGACCUGACAUUUACUGAAAUGGAAUUUCUUUCCCACCAGGUGGAUGGAGACUUGGAGCAGAUAUAGUUUGAUUUUAAAAAAUUAAGCAGGUCACAAUUUCCCCAUAUAAGAAAACAAAUCAAGGAUUAUUGGAUACCUGUCUGUUGGAAUAAAAAUCUUGCAAGAGAGGAAUAGACUGAAAAAGGAGAGGUGAGUUUGUCCUCUGUCCCUGCCUCUACAAUAUA
rnacentral:lncRNA from 1 species